GUGUCAGCCGCCGCGGUAAUACGAAUGGGGCAAGCGUUGUUCGGAUUUACUGGGCGUAAAGCGCACGUAGGCGGUGCGGUAAGUCUGGGGUCAAAGGCUACGGCUCAACCGUAGUAAGGUCUCAGAUACUAUCGUGCUAGAGUGCCGGAGAGGGUAGCGGAAUUCCCUGUGUAGCGGUGAAAUGCGUAGAUAUAGGGAGGAACACCGGUUGCGAAGGCGGCUACCUGGCCGGUAACUGACGCUGAGGUGCGAGAGCGUGGGGAGCAAACAGGAUUAGAUACCCUGGUAGUCCACGCUGUAAACGAUGGGCGCUAGGUGUUGGUGGUUAGUAGCCAUCAGUGCCGAAGCUAACGCGUUAAGCGCCCCGCCUGGGGAGUACGGCCGCAAGGCUGAAACUUAAAGGAAUUGACGGGG
rnacentral:rRNA from 1 species